UGGUUUGUUUCAGUUUCUAUAUAUUAUUAUGAAAUUUAGGAGUUAUCUUCCCACAAGAUAGCAGAGAUUUCUCAUGCCUUACAUUCGCCGGAUAAUCCAUAUCUAUUUGCUCCCAAACGCUGUUCAUCACCCAUUCGUACAGCCCCAUCACUACGUCGUGCACCUUCAUCUUCAAGAGACCUCGCAAUUUGAUCUUUGCUCACUAUUGAUCCAGUCGCCAAGGGAAUUAUUUCCAUUUCUGGACAGCGUUGCUAUGCUCUCUUCUUCCAUCGAACACCACAUGGCAUUAGGUGAUGAGACUAAUAGAGGUCGAAUUCAAGGCAUAGAUAAUCCGUUGUAGGAGUCAG